AUGGUCACAUCAUGUUGAAACACUUGUUCCCGGAUGAUCACCGAAGUUAAGCAAUAUCAAGCCUGGUCAGUACCUAGAUGCAUGACUGUUUGGGAAUACCAGGUGCUGUAAG